rfam:Tuber melanosporum whole genome shotgun sequence assembly, scaffold_93, strain Mel28
GCGCCAGUGGUCCAGUGGUAGGAUUAUUGCCUUCCAAGCAAUCGGCAGGGGUUCGAUUCCCUUCUGGCGCA